GUAAUAUCAGUUCGCAAUCAUGGGUCAAUGUUCAUUUUUAUUUCGAGUCGUAAAUCUAUUCUAUCUUGUUAUUAGUUGUUGAUACGACUAGUUACCUUCGAAAACUAAUUUCCCAUUGUUUAUUACAUAGUUAAUUAUGGCAUUGUGUUGCUGUUGGGUGUUGUAUCGUUGAUGUCGACCACGAGAGAAAAUCUUUUAAAAGGAAAGAGAAAAGGCAACAGAAGUCAAUCGAGUGAGCAUCUCCGACCCGGUAACAACUGCAUUCUUCGUCGUAUUACCAGGUCGCAAUCACGGUUAACUAUGCCGUCAUGCUGCUAUUGGUUGUUGUAUCGUCGAUGGCUGGGUCGACCACUGGUGUACCGACGUCUCCUGAAUAAGGCGUAUAUCAAACCGCAACGCCACCGCCUUACUACGCAACAACAUACGCAACGACCAGAUACUACACCGAGGUUGCACUGUUGGGUUUACAGUUAAACCACCAAGGAUCCAGAUGAUUUCACCACAACUUGUGCUGCUCCUCGAGCUACACUACCAAAGCGCUAGAGUACUACACCGAGGCACCUACUGAGACUACGCAACUACGUAUGCUGCCCCAACCUACGACACCGAGGCUCCAGCUUAUUACAUCACCAAGGCUGUCGAAUUCUACACUGGAGCGCCCAAGUACGACAGAAAUCAGUCAAGUGAGCUUCUCCGACACCCAACACGGCAACCCCGAAGUUUCGAAUAAACUUCGUUUCAAACAGUGGAACGGCAAAGAGUGAAGACAAAUUCGACUGCAAUCGCGUCGAAUUGAAUAGCAAUGAUAACAUAUUCGUACGUGUACACCGCGCCGUUAAACUUGACAUUGUCGGUCGGCAAGCCGCACUUGACGAUGGCCGUACCAUCACCUACGACAAGUGCGUUAUUGCCACAGGUGUUAAACGAAAAUCUUUUCCAAUCCCUGAGCGGUGCCCUUAAAGAUGCCCACGAGCACGUAGCGCUGUUCCGCAACAUCGAUGGCGGUAACAUAGGUCGAGUUCUCCGUCCUCCUAAAUAUUUGAGCCAAUGGACAACCGAGAAGGUGAAAGCGGAAAGUGUUAAUGUUUUGCCCAAAACUAAUGUUGAGGGUGUAAUUUUGGAAGACUACAAGGUCGCAUUGUCCUUAAACAAUGAUUUAAACUGACAAUAUCGUCGCUGCUGUCGGUUGGGACGUAAACACGGAUUUGGCUGUUGCUUUUGGUUUGGAAAUAGAGGAGAGGAGAUUUUGGUGGUUAUCGAGUCAAUACCGAGCUUGAAGCACAAUCGAACGUUUGUUUGACGUUCUUUUGUGAUAUCAAAUUGGGUCGCUGUUGUAUGGAACAUGUUCACCAUGCUGUUGUAUCAGGGCGAUUGGCUGGAGAGAACAAUACUGGCAAAGAAAUGUGGAUGAAAAACUGCAGUGCACUGUUACCAAGUGCAUUCUUCGUCGUAUUAUCAGUACGCAAUCGGUUGAUGUGAUGUCGUGAUGUUGCCGUUUGCCUUAUCGUUGAAGGCUGGGUCGAUCACUGGUGUACGGAUGUCUCCUGGGUAUGGUGGAUACCAAAGCAUCACGCCGACGCCAUACUACA